AAGGGAAAGGAGAGGGAGAGGCCGUGCGGGCAGGUGGGGAGGUGGCUGCGGGCACCGGCAGAGUCCUUCCUGUUAUUAUCCCAGCGAAGAGGUCAAGAAACAGAAGCUAAAGAACUGCUCUCAGAGCUCUCAGCAAGUGACAUGAAGUUUGGACAUCAGGGACAGCCUAAGUGACAACAAAAUCCAGUGGAUUUCAAAUACAUCACUCACUGCCACAAUUUUCAGAAGUCCUCCCCAGGUUGGUCUGAGCCAUUCGAAAUAACUGCACACAAAGUAAUGACGGUGGGGGUGGUGUGGGAGUGCAGGUUGAAGUUAUAUAGUUUCUAGGGUCCCCUGCAAAAUAAAUUGUCUUGAAAUUCA